UCUCUGGUGGUUCAGUGGCUAAGACUCUGCACUUCCAGUGCAGGGGGCCCAGGUUCAAUCCCUGGUCAGGGAA
rnacentral:tRNA from 1 species